AAUGAACGCUGGCGGCAGGCCUAACACAUGCAAGUCGAGCGGAGCGGCGGACGGGCGAGUAAUGCCUAGGAAUCUGCCUGGCAGUGGGGGAUAACGUCCGGAAACGGGCGCUAAUACCGCAUACUAUCAGAUGAGCCUAGGUGGGAUUAGCUAGCUGGUGGGGUAAAGGCCUACCAAGGCGACGAUCCGUAACUGGUCUGAGAGGAUGAGCAGUCACACUGGAACGGAGACACGGUCCAGACUCCUACGGGAGGCAGCAGUGGGGAAUAUUGGACAAUGGGCGGAAGCCUGAUCCAGCCCAGCCGCGUGUGUGAAGAAGGUCUUCGGAUUGGAAAGCAAUUUAAGUUGGGAGGCGUUACCAACAGAAUAAGCACCGGCUAACUUCGUGCCAGCAGCCGCGGUAAUAC
rnacentral:rRNA from 1 species